AGGGACCAGCACAGCCACCUGGGGAAGGGUGGUUUAUUGAGGAGUGGGCAAGUCUCAGGGAGGUGUGAGGCUCACCCUGUGCUCCGCAGGCCCUGUCCACAGACUCAGUGGAGCGCCUGCCCGUCUACAACAAGUCAGCCUGGCGCCACUACCAGACCAUCCAGGAGGCCGGCGACUGGUGUGUGCCCAGCACAGAGCCCAAGAACACGUCCACCUACCGAGUCAGCUAGGGGCCGCCCUCCCCUGUAGUCGAGAGGACAGACUGCUGCCUUGGGGUCUGGCCACCAAGGCGACCCUCUCCGUCACCCAGGAAAUGGGUGGGGGUGGUUCUCCCUGAUGACCAGUUUCUCU
rnacentral:lncRNA from 1 species